GAUCUGAACAAUUUUUUUUUGGUUUGAGUUUCCUUCUCGUUUUUUUGUUCUUGUUUUUGUCUCUUGCCUUAUUUUGUUCUUCUGUUCUCUUAUUUUGUUGUUUGAUGUUUGGAAUUUUCAGAUCUGUACAACAACUUAUUGUUUUGCAAAUGAUGUAUGUAAUGUGCGGAUCCUCCAUGCACAAUAACAACUUAUUGUUAUUUUUUUAUGCAUAUUUUUGAAUUUUUUUGUUGGAUUUGUUAUUUGUUAGUUCUUCCUCGCGUGGUGGCUCAGAUCCGCUGCCUAUGGCCGCGCGUAGCAGCCGACUACCACGGCGGAAGGUGAAAUAUUUUUCGUUUGUGUAUUAUUUCACCAUUGUGUAUUAACGUACUCUGUUUGGGUUUUAAUUUUUUUUAUCUGAUCGAUAUUUUCGGUUUGUUGGUUGGAUCUGUUGUUUUUGGUUGAAGGAAGUUUUUGUUUUUCCUGAUGGAUAUUUCUGGGUUUUUCCGUUGAAUCUGUUGUUUGUUGGGUCUUCCUAACAUCGCAGUUCACAUCGGCUGAUAAUGGCCAGUCGGCAGCCCACGACCAUGCCGGAAGGACGUACGAACAAAUUUGAAGAUUAAAUUUCAGAAGAUCCAAUUUGUAUAAGGGAUUUAAUUUUUUUGUUGGGUUUACUCUGUGUAAAUAAAGAUGUAAAUAUGCAAAUAUAGUUUUAUCUUUCCAUUUUUUUUGGCUGUAAUACACAUGCAUAUCAUGUAAUUACAUAAUGUAAGAAAUAGAUUCAUACAAUACAGUUAAUUUUUACAA